rnacentral:rRNA from 1 species
CCUACGGGAGGCAGCAGUAAGGAAUCUUGCGCAAUGGGCGAAAGCCUGACGCAGCGACGCCGCGUGGGCGAUGAAGGCCUUCGGGUUGUAAAGCCCUUUUCUGGGGGACGAGGAAGGACGGUACCCCAGGAAUAAGUCACGGCUAACUACGUGCCAGCAGCCGCGGUAAUACGUAGGGUGCGAGCGUUAAUCGGAAUUACUGGGCGUAAAGCGUGCGCAGGCGGCUUUGUAAGACGGAUGUGAAAUCCCUGGGCUAAACAUAGGAACGGCGUUCGGGACUGCAAAGCGAGAGUGCGGCAGAGGGGGGUGGAAUUCCUGGUGUAGCAGUGAAAUGCGUAGAGAUCGGGAGGAACACCAGUGGCGAAGGCGGCUCCCGGGCCCGCACCUGACACUCAGACGCGAAAGCGUGGGGAGCGAACGGGAUUAGAUCCCCCUGUAGU